rnacentral:lncRNA from 1 species
GGUUGUCCUUUUGUUCUUGUGGAAAUUAAGAGAUCUAAGACAUUGGUUUGCUUAAGUGAAAGUUUAAGAAUAUCCACAAUGUUCUGAUCGAUUUGUCUCCUAUGAUUCAUUUCUUCAAACAGCUUCUUCUGAAGUUCUUGUCUUUCAGGUGACUCCAUUGGAGAUCUUUGAAUCUGAGAGAUAGAUAGUGAAACAUCAAAAACAUAUAUAUACCUCUUUUGUUUAUUAUUCAAUCUUGAAAGAUGAGACUUCACCUUGCUCUUGAGAUAUAACAAAGGGAUAUCGCGAGUAUUGACCGAGCUUGAAGUAGAGAUUGGUGAAGCAGUGAAUCCAGCAGAAGUGAAGUUUUCGUUUUCAGGAUUGGUUCCAAUGUAGGAGACAAGAUAGUCUUUAAGAAGCGCCUUUGAUCCGAAACGGCUUACAUGAGAACUCGUCCCUGGUUCAGCAUCAGGACCUGUUCUUCUCUUUACAAUUUGGUAUUGUUUCUUCAAUGUCUCUUUACUCAUG